UCUAACGUGGACCCGUAAUCCGGGUUGCGGACAGUGUCUGGUGGGUAGUUUGACUGGGGCGGUCUCCUCCUAAAGAGUAACGGAGGAGCACGAAGGUUGGCUAAUCCUGGUCGGACAUCAGGAGGUUAGUGCAAUGGCAUAAGCCAGCUUGACUGCGAGCGUGACGGCGCGAGCAGGUGCGAAAGCAGGUCAUAGUGAUCCGGUGGUUCUGAAUGGAAGGGCCAUCGCUCAACGGAUAAAAGGUACUCCGGGGAUAACAGGCUGAUACCGCCCAAGAGUUCAUAUCGACGGCGGUGUUUGGCACCUCGAUGUCGGCUCAUCACAUCCUGGGGCUGAAGUAGGUCCCAAGGGUAUGGCUGUUCGCCAUUUAAAGUGGUACGCGAGCUGGGUUUAGAACGUCGUGAGACAGUUCGGUCCCUAUCUGCCGUGGGCGCUGGAGAACUGAGGGGGGCUGCUCCUAGUACGAGAGGACCGGAGUGGACGCAUCACUGGUGUUCGGGUUGUCAUGCCAAUGGCACUGCCCGGUAGCUAAAUGCGGAAGAGAUAAGUGCUGAAAGCAUCUAAGCACGAAACUUGCCCCGAGAUGAGUUCUCCCUGAGACUUAGAGUCUCCUGAAGGAACGUUGAAGACGACGACGUUGAUAGGCCGGGUGUGUAAGCGCAGCGAUGCGUUGAGCUAACCGGUACUAAUGAACCGUGAGGCUUAACCUUACAACGCCGAA
rnacentral:rRNA from 1 species